rnacentral:rRNA from 1 species
AUUGAACGCUGGCGGCAGGCCUAACACAUGCAAGUCGAGCGGAUGAAGGGAGCUUGCUCCUUGAUUCAGCGGCGGACGGGUGAGUAAUGCCUAGGAAUCUGCCUGGUAGUGGGGGAUAACGUCCGGAAACGGGCGCUAAUACCGCAUACGUCCUGAGGGAGAAAGUGGGGGAUCUUCGGACCUCACGCUAUCAGAUGAGCCUAGGUCGGAUUAGCUAGUUGGUGGGGUAAAGGCCUACCACGGCGACGAUCCGUAACUGGUCUGAGAGGAUGAUCAGUCACACUGGAACUGAGACACGGUCCAGACUCCUACGGGAGGCAGCAGUGGGGAAUAUUGGACAAUGGGCGAAAGCCUGAUCCAGCCAUGCCGCGUGUGUGAAGAAGGUCUUCGGAUUGUAAAGCACUUUAAGUUGGGAGGAAGGGCAGUAAGUUAAUACCUUGCUGUUUUGACGUUACCAACAGAAUAAGCACCGGCUAACUUCGUG